rnacentral:rRNA from 1 species
AACGAACGCUGGCGGCAGGCCUAACACAUGCAAGUCGAACGGCUCCUUCGGGGACAGUGGCAGACGGGUGAGUAACGCGUGGGAAUCUACCUUGUGGUACGGAACAACCAAGGGAAACUUUGGCUAAUACCGUAUGAGCCCUUCGGGGGAAAGAUUUAUCGCCAUAAGAUGAGCCCGCGUAGGAUUAGCUAGUUGGUGAGGUAAAGGCUCACCAAGGCGACGAUCCUUAGCUGGUCUGAGAGGAUGACCAGCCACACUGGGACUGAGACACGGCCCAGACUCCUACGGGAGGCAGCAGUGGGGAAUAUUGGACAAUGGGCGCAAGCCUGAUCCAGCCAUGCCGCGUGUGUGAUGACGGCCUUAGGGUUGUAAAGCACUUUCGCCGAUGAAGAUAAUGACUGUAGUCGGAGAAGAAGCCCCGGCUAACUUCGUGCCAGCCGCCGCAGUAA